GAUGAAGAACGUAGCGAAAUGCGAUAAGUAAUGUGAAUUGCAGAAUUCAGUGAAUCAUCGAAUCUUUGAACGCACAUUGCGCCCCCUGGUAUUCCGGGGGGCAUGCCUGUCCGAGCGUCAUUACAACCCUCAAGCUCAGCUUGGUAUUGGGCCCCGCCGACCCGGCGGGCCCUAAAGUCAGUGGCGGUGCCGUCCGGCUCCGAGCGUAGUAAUUCUUCUCGCUCUGGAGGUCCGGUCGUGUGCUCGCCAGCAACCCCCAAUUUUUUUCAGGUUGACCUCGGAUCAGGUAGGGAUACCAGCUGAACUUAAGCAUAUCAAUAAGCGGAGGA
rnacentral:misc_RNA from 1 species